AUGUUCUUGCAUUGCAGAAAUGAUAGGGCUCUGCUUCAUACCUCACUAAUGGCGAAUGGUCGCGAGCUCCUCAUCCACGAGCAAAGCUUCUCCUUCAAAGGCCUUUUUGAAAACGGAAGCACAUCUGACAGGAUUAAAGGAGGACAGAUGAUUCCACAUCCUGUAAUUUCAAAGACUUGGAUACUGCCUGCUAGGUUGAGGAGAUUCGGGGUGUCACAUAGACCCCUAGGUUCCUCCGAUGAACCCCAUCAACUCCAUGAAACCUGCCCUGCCUCCAACGCCACACAGGUCAGUAGCUCCUGUGCAUCAACAAGGCGCAGCUGCAAGUCAAAAUGUGACUCGCGCCCACUGUUUCCUCUGUAACGACAUUCUGAACUCUCAAACCCCCCUCACACUGACACCUGCUUCCCUCAGAGCUGCACUCAACAGUCUGAAACAUAGCGUUGAUGUUUUGAUUGUUGAUAUUGCACAUUUUAACUACUAUUUGGUAAUAGCUUCAGGGAAGCAAUGUGUUUUUAUUGUUUUGCAGCCUUAUCUGGAUGAGAUUAGCCUUGGCGUGCAGUUUAAUUGUUUUUUUUUUUCUUUGUGAGUUGUGUUUUGCUUCUUUGAGCCUUCUUUAUCUGUUUAAGGGUCCUUAAGAGUGCUUUAUGGUUAUUUGGAGAGGAAAACAAGUUAUUGAUGGUACACUUUGGGUUCUUUAAGUUAAGUACCAGUAUAUGGAUGGUUUUCUAAAGAACCCUAGAUUCAAAAGUUUUUUGGAACUUUAUUUGGUUCUGUUUGGAAACUUUAUUUUUGAGGGGACACUUAAAAUUGACAAAUGUCAUUAACUCAUCCUCAUGUCAUUUCAAACAUGUGACUGACUAUCUUCUGUGGAACACAAAAGGAGGUUAAGGAAAAUGUCAAAGAUGAUACCCCCAAAAUGAAAGCGAACAGCAGCAUUAGUGGCAUGUAAAUAGUUUGUUUGUGUGUGUGUGUGUGUGUGUGUAUAUGUAUAUAUAUGUAUUGUUUUAGUUUUUAUAUAUAUAUAUAUAUAUAUAUAGUUAGGGACCGGUACUUAACGUGUGUGUGUGUGUGUGUGUGUAUAUGUAUAUAUAUGUAUGUUUGUUUUUAUUAUAUAUAUAUAUAUAUAUAUAUUAGGGCCGGGACUUUAACGCGUUAAUUGAGAUUAAUUAAUUACACAAAAAAUAACGCGUUAAUUAAGAUUAAUUAAUUACAGAAAAAAAUUUCCCGCAUUUUUAAUAACUUAUUUUUGCACCGCGGAAUGUUUCUCACUGGAUGCGUUUCGGCGGACCGAUUUUACACUUUAUGUUGAACUAUGUAUUAUUUUGUUGGUGCAACAGUUUAUGUUGAACUCUUUAUUGUUUUGGCCAAGUUUAUUGAGAGUUGGACUUAGUAUGUUAUGGCCUCUGAAGCAACAGAGAGAUGUUUUCUAAUAGUCAGGGUUUCCAAUGUUCUGAAUGUAAUUGACAGUAUUGUGUAUUACUUAAAAAACUCUUUACAGAAGGUUCCAGCACCUAUAAGCUUCCUGAAUUUCUGAAAUGUACUAUUUCUAAAUUGUUUCUAAAUAUGCUAUUGCUACACUUCAUGGCAAAAAUUGCACUGGUCUGCUAGACUUGGUUGAACAAAAAUAAACUAUUUUGUUGCUUAAGCUUAUGUAUUCAGUCAUUAUUCAAUGGUAUACAAUAAAUCCAUUUGAAAAACAAUUACUUCUCACUGUUCUCAGGUCAAAUAUUUAUAUGCGAUUAAAAUGCGAUUAAUUUCGAUUAAUUAAUUACAAAGCCUCUAAUUAAUUAGAUUAAUUUUUUUAAUCGAGUCCCGGCCCUAAUAUAUAUGUGUGUAUAUAUAGAUGUAUGUAUGUAUGUAUGUAUGUAUGUAUAGUUAGUAGUUUAAAAUAUAUAAUAUUUAAUUUGUAAUUAUGUUAUAUAGGUAAUUUGUUUAAAUGUACAUUCAUUC
rnacentral:lncRNA from 1 species